AGAUUGAACGCUGGCGGCAUGCCUUACACAUGCAAGUCGAACGGCAGCACGGGGGCAACCCUGGUGGCGAGUGGCGAACGGGUGAGUAAUGCAUCGGAACGUGCCCAGUAGUGGGGGGAUAACUAGUCGAAAGAUUAGCUAAUACCGCAUACGACCUAUGGGUGAAAGCGGGGGAUUCGCAAGAACCUCGCGCUAUCGGAGCGGCCGAUGUCUGAUUAGCUAGUUGGCGGGUAAAAGCCCACCAAGGCUUCGAUCAGUAGCUGGUCUGAGAGGACGACCAGCCACACUGGGACUGAGACACGGCCCAGACUCCUACGGGAGGCAGCAGUGGGAAUUUUGGACAAUGGCGCAAGCCUGAUCAGCCAGUGCCGCGGUGCGGGAAGAAGGCCGUUCGGGUUAGUAACCGUCUUUGGCAGGAACCGAACGGCGACGAG
rnacentral:rRNA from 1 species